rnacentral:rRNA from 1 species
CCAGACUCCUACGGGAGGCAGCAGUGGGGAAUAUUGCACAAUGGGGGAAACCCUGAUGCAGCGACGCCGCGUGAAGGAAGAAGUAUUUCGGUAUGUAAACUUCUAUCAGCAGGGAAGAAAAUGACGGUACCUGACUAAGAAGCCCCGGCUAACUACGUGCCAGCAGCCGCGGUAAUACGUAGGUGGCAAGCGUUGUCCGGAUUUACUGGGUGUAAAGGGCGUGUAGCCGGGCUUACAAGUCAGAUGUGAAAUCCGGGGGCUCAACCCCCGAACUGCAUUUGAAACUGUAGGUCUUGAGUAUCGGAGAGGCAGGCGGAAUUCCUAGUGUAGCGGUGAAAUGCGUAGAUAUUAGGAAGAACACCAGUGGCGAAGGCGGCUUUCUGGACUGUAACUGACGUUGAGGCUCGAAAGCGUGGGGAGCAAACAGGAUUAGAUACCCGCGUAAUA